rnacentral:rRNA from 1 species
UACGUAGGGGGCAAGCGUUAUCCGGAUUUAUUGGGCGUAAAGCGCGUGUAGGCGGUCCGGUAAGUCCGCUGUGAAAGUCGAGGGCUCAACCCUCGAAUGCCGGUGGAUACUGUCGGGCUAGAGUACGGAAGAGGCGAGUGGAAUUCCUGGUGUAGCGGUGAAAUGCGCAGAUAUCAGGAGGAACACCGGUGGCGAAGGCGGGUCUCUGGGCCGAUACUGACGCUGAGGAGCGAAAGCGUGGGGAGCGAACAGG